rnacentral:rRNA from 1 species
UACGAAGGGUGCAAGCGUUACUCGGAAUCACUGGGCGUAAAGCGUGCGUAGGCGGUUCGUUAAGUCUGUUGUGAAAGCCCUGGGCUCAACCUGGGAACUGCAGUGGAUACUGGCGAGCUAGAGUACGGUAGAGGAAGGUGGAAUUCCCGGUGUAGCGGUGAAAUGCGUAGAUAUCUGGAGGAACACCGGUGGCGAAGGCGGCAUCCUGGACCGGUAUUGACGCUGAGGCGCGAAAGCGUGGGGAGCAAACAGG